UUCACUUCUUGGCCUUUUGGCUAAGAUCAAGUGUAGUAUCUGUUCUUAUGAGUUCUGAUCGGUCAAUAGUUGACCGGUAGGUACGAUAGAAUGGUGCUACAUUAGGGGGCAGGUGUACCAGGGCUUUCCAGGGCCAUACCUCGAUGGGACCUGCACCCUCCCGGUCUGGUUAUUGGGCCAGGGAGGGGUCUAG